GCAGUGGGGCAAUUCCUUGGAAAUGGCUUGACAGAGAAGGUGGGAAUGCGGCUGGGAGCAGCCACGUGUUCUCACCUGAAAUGCAGAAUGGAAAUUGUAGAGAAGCAAACUUGAACUGACUCACUCAGGAAAGUAUCCAGCGCUUUGGGCGGGCCGGCUGCUCGCAUCCUGUGUGUGAUUCACUCUGCUUUCUUGAAGAUUAGAUGAGGCAGGCUCCAAAUGCAUGGCUUGAUUACAGUGAUAACUUCUCCCCGGGCACAGAUGCUGAACAACUGCAAGUCCAGGCCUGUCUCCAGCCUAAUGCGGGCUAUGGAAAUGAUUGCUGGCCUCCAGGAAUGAGCCCCACUGCCCACCACGGCAAGUGGGGAGAGCUGGUAAAUCCCUGUCAUCACCAGAGGACAAUACUUAAAGGUCAAUCUCAAGAUCCACAAGCAAAGAGACGUUGCCAGGGAGAUAACAGCACUGGAAGGAAAAGCUCUUCUGCUUCCUUCUCCUUGCACCACGCUCCUCGCGAUGGGGCCCCAAGGGGCACAACCCACACCACACUCCGGGGAAGUGAAGCUCCUGGAAGCAAGAUCCUUCUGAAGAGGCCAGGUUCAAAAAAUCAAGGACUCUUCUGCACACUGGUGCCCCCAUGCUCUCCUACUUAAUAAUCAUAUUAAGCACAAACACACCAAUAAUUAAAGCUUAUUCCUGC